rnacentral:rRNA from 1 species
CAAUAGCGUAUAUUAAAGUUGUUGCGGUUAAAAAGCUCGUAGUUGGAUUUCUGCUGAGAACGACCGGUCCGCCCUUUGGGUGUGUAUCUGGCUCUUUCUUGGCAUCUUCUUGGUGAACGUUGCUGCACUUGACUGUGUGGAGCGCUACCCAGGACUUUUACUUUGAGGAAAUUAGAGUGUUUCAAGCAGGCAUACGCCUUGAAUACAUUAGCAUGGAAUAAUAAGAUAGGACCUCGGUUCUAUUUUGUUGGUUUCUAGAGCUGAGGUAAUGAUUAAUAGGGAUAGUUGGGGGCAUUCGUAUUUAACUGUCAGAGGUGAAAUUCUUGGAUUUGUUGAAGACGAUCUACUGCGAAAGCAUUUGCCAGGGAUGUUUUCAUUGA